ACCCUCGUGACGGGGCCAAGCUGACGAUUAGCGAGUACGCACCUCUCCUCGCAGGCUCCGGUGGGAGAGGCUCCUGGAAGGGCGCGAGCCAGGAAAGUAGAGACAGUGAAGAGAUGAAGACCGCGCGGGGUAGUUGUUUGGAAAGGCUCGGAUCACCCCCAACCCAGCCCCGUCUCGUCCGGCCCCAAAAGGCCCAUCUCGGCCGAGCUACUUACACUUUGUACGGCAGCCGUGGGUCCGACGUCAGCGUGAUCUUAAAGGAAACCUUCGACCUGAGGAAAGGAGCGGGAGAGAGUCAGGGUCGGGCAGCUGGACCAGGAAUUAAAGCAGUCGGUUCCCUUGGAGUUCUCUGCUGGUGGGUUUCUGCUCUGAUUGAUGUCAGAGUGGGAUUCAAAGUAGAACUCCAGUGACUCCAAGGAGCACCAAGUCACCAAAAGACAUGGUCUCACUCUGCAGUGGUGCAAUAUCAACUCACUACAACCUAGAACUCCUGGGCUCAAGCAAUCCUUCUGCCUCAACCUCCCUAGCUGCUGCGACUACAGGUGUAUGGAAGGUGACAACGUGCCAGCCAAAGAAGAAUGCUCAAUGAGCACCACCCAACCGGAGCAAGGAUGUGGCAGGCUCUGGGUACAGACAGAUGGAAGUCUCUGGCAAGCUCUUCUUUAUAUUUUUCUCACUCUGUGGAUAAAUACAGGCACUCACAGAUAUCAUUGUAAAUUUCAGUUGCUAUUUCUAGGGAGCCCAAUGUUGUGUGCAGUAUUAUAAGGGAAUGGUGGCUCUUGUGUGAAGAUUUACCUCACUGCAUUGUCAUCCUCUGAUGAUACCCCCAGGAAAUACAUCCCAGAGUUCAAGGAACAGAAAGACACACUGACCAAGUAGAGAUUUUCAAAUAACAUAGACUGGUAACUCAAUUAAAAACACACAGUGGAGGGUCAAGGGAAAAAAAUAAAGGUAAAAUAACCCACUUAGGAUAGAGUGCAACGAAGACAGAAAAGACAUACUGAGUCCCUAGAUAUGUUCUAUCAGAGAAACACAGUUAGAAGUAUGCCUGGCCAAGCUGUAGUUCAUCAUUUAACCUGAUGAGCAGCUGUAGACUUUAUUUAUGUCUCUUGGGAAACCACAGGUAGGGUCAGAAGGGUUUCACAAAUGGUUGGUCAAUUUAAGAACUCAUAAAUAUUGUGUGCCUUCAUAAGCCUCAUGAAUUUGUUAUGUAUUGGGAGUAUUAUAUGCCACAGGUAUAUGCAGUGUAUUAUGAAUAUUAAGUGCCACUUGAUCUUUCUGUCUUUAUGUUUGGUGCAUACCUGUUUCAUUUGUGUUAUCUAUUCCUAACCCAUAAUAUAGUUUACUGAUUUACUUAAUAUUUUCAUGAAUUCUGUCUAUGCCUCACAAGCUACUUGUCUCCACAUCGAAUUUAUCAUCAUUUGUCUCUUUUUCCUAUUUCCUAUAGCAGAAUUGAAUCAUCUUAAAUAAUAAAGGAAAUUCACAUUACAUUAAAAGUGAGAGAGGACUUUCUAGGGAGAAGGGAAAUGUAAAAGCUGGGAGAAUUGGGUCAGCAAUAGUUGAGACGACAUUAUAAUUUAACAUAGUUGUAGUGAAUGUUGGGAGAUAAUGAAAAAAGAUAACAUAGUGAGUCCAUGUCUGUUUUACAAGGUUGAUGAUUAGUGCUUUCUUAUUAGAAACAGGAGUGUCUGCUACAAACAGGAAUGCCUGCUAUGCUGUUUCUACCUUAGAAUAUGAGACUCACUCUUAAAAGGUCCAGAGUGAGGCCGGGCGCGGUGGCUCACGCUUGUAAUCCCAGCACUUUGGGAGGCCGAGGCGGACGGAUCACGAGGUCAGGAGAUCGAGACCACGGUGAAACUCUGUCUCUACUAAAAAAUACAAAAAAUUAGCCGGGCGUGGUGGCGGGCGCCUGUAGUCCCAGCUACUCGGAGAGGCUGAGGCAGGAGAAUGGCGUGAACCCGGGAGGCGGAGCUUGCAGUGAGCCGAGAUUGCGCCACUGCACUCCAGCCUGGGCGACAGAGCGAGACUCCGUCUCAAAAAAAAAAAAAAAAAAAGGUCCAGAGUGAGAUAACUAUCUUCUGUCUUUAGGUCUAAUUAUCACCUUUUCCUUAAGCAUUGCCUCCCUUAGGAACAGCAUCUUCACAGCGUGAUCGAUGGAGAAGAUAUUCACUCCUCAGGAUAGACUCCAUUUUCUACCCAAAGUCCCAGCAACACAAUUACCACAAAGCAGGGAGUUUGUCUCACUGAAACGUUAAAGGAAGAUAAAAUGCUGUUUAAGUCCCAUUGUAGCUGAGGAAGUAACGAGAGAUCUCACAAUGCCAGCACCUCCACCUCAGAGAUCUCCAGGCCAAACGCCCAAGUACAGAAGGAAGGAAUGGCUAGAAUCUGGUUUGGCAAUUGCUGAAAACCGUGAAGAAUAAGAUAGGUGACUAGGAUCCAGGGAAAUAAUUCACUUUUCAAAAAAAAGGGACCCCUUUAGCACACACUGCCUUAAAUUGGAGUGGGUUCUUCAGCAGCAAACAAUUGGCCAAAAGAUAAGAACAAGCAAGAAAGCAAACAAAUAAAAGUAACAACAAAAUUUAAGAACCCCUUGCAUGGAAGAGAUGCUUAUUUCCUCUGGACUGAAAGAUGGCAUCAGAAGUGGGAUCUAAAGUAAAGCUUCUAACAAUCCCCAUGAGCACUGAGUGACCAAGCAAGGUACCCGCCAGGCCUGUUCUGUCUGUUGCUCUCGCAGAGCAGCUGGGGAUCGUGGUAUGAUGAGACCAAAAGACCAGGAGACAACUGCUGAAGGUUAUUACAACUCCAGAUCCAAAGGGAAAGGGACACGUGACACCAUCGGGGAGACACAUGGAGAAGCACCAAGAUGACAGAAACUUCAUUGGCUUUGGCAAAGCAGAAAUUUAUUAGCUUACAAGGUUUAAAAAAGCCCUGAAUCUCAGAGAGAUUACAUAGCUUUGCCAGUGUCAUACACCUAAAUAAGAAGGAAGGAGAAGUCUUCUAGCUUCAGAACCCAAGCUUCCUUCAAUGAACUGCAAACUGCCAAUAAACUACUGAAGGAUCUCCAGUUUCUCAACCUGGGCACUAUUAACAUUUUGGACCAGUAACACUUUGUUGAGGGAAGCUGUCCUAUGCGUUGUAGAAUGCUUAGCAGAAUUCCUGGCCUCUACACAUUUGAUUACGGGAGACUGGGUAGUCAUUGAGACAUAUGUUCUGCUUACGAGGAGAGUAACUUGAGCAACGUUACCCACCUCUAUCUGGAAACACAGGGUUAUUUAGUACAUUGAAAUUCCAGACAUAACUAUCUGUUCAGUAGCAGCGGUUCCUAUCAGACAACAACUUCCCUGUUCAUUUUGUGCUAGUAGAAUGGAACUUCAUGGACCUUGGAGAAGCAUACUCCAAACACUACAAAUGAUGGUGAUACUUUGGAGAGAUGCUAAGACAGCAGAUGCUAAAAUCCAGAUAUCUUUUGUGAAUAUGAGGCAUAUCUACUGGGAACACAUCAUAUUAAUUUGUUGAGGUAAACUUUGAAGAUGGUGGCAAUAAGCAGUUGGAGAAAAAGAAAAAUAUCAACAUGCAAGGCACCGUUGUUUUCUUCUUAAUUGUAACUUUUUACUUUUUGUGUCUAUGGCUAUCACAGAGAUUUAAAAAUUAAUCAUUGAAAAUGAUUAAUAGAAUCGACCUGUGAGCAUCAACACAGAAAUGGAUAAAGAAAAUGUGUUAUAUACACAGUGGGAUACCAUUAAGCCUAAAAAUGAAGGAAAUCUUGUCAUUCACAGCAACAUGGGUGAGCCUGGGGGGGGCAUUAUGUUCAGUGAAAUAAGUCAGGCACAGAAAGAUAAAUACCACCUGUUCUCACUUAUAUGUGAGAGCUAAAAGCAGCUCAGCUUAUAAAAGUAGAGGGUAGAAUUGUUUAGUAUUAGAGGUUUGGAAUGGUAGGGAGGAGAAGAAGAUAGCUAGAAGUUGGUUAACAGACAUAAAAUUGUCUAGAUGGAGAGAAAGUUCCAGUGUGCCGUAGCACUGUAGGAUGACUAUAGUUAACCAUAAUCUACCAUAUUUUCCAAUAGCAGGAAGAGAGAACUUUGAAUGUUUGAAGUGCUGGACAUUCUCACCACUCUGAGUUGAUUAUUACACAUUGCACACAUGCAUCAAAACAUCACUCUGUAUCCUAUAAAUAUGUACAAUAUUACAUGGCAACUCAAAAUAAGAAAAAAUGAAAUCUUGAUUUAUUAUUAUCUAAUUUCAGUAUUUUACCACUUUCCUCCAAAUGCAAAAGCAAUUUAGUACUAUUUUUCAGCAUCCCAUUGUCUUGCAUUUUACUAUACAUUUUACAAAUCCCAUACUACAUGUAUUUUUUCCCUAGUAUUGAUUCACAUAUACCUACACACGUCCGUACUUUCACCUGGGAUUCCUUUGUUUUAGUC